UGGAACCUGAAUUAUGCAACGAUUUUAGUUCUUUGUUGAGAACAAUAAGGAUUUCAGUGAUCAUGUGUAUGAUGAUUAUAUACAGUACCGGUGGUGGAACUCUGAGUAAGGGGUGUCAGCUGGAAGGCCUGACAGAUGUGUCUCUGCCUUCCUGAGUGCACCUUGGAGGGUACCGAGACUGCGAAUCCUGUCGUUCAACAUCAUGGUCUGAAGAAAGAAAGAAAAUAUUACAUGCUCGUCAUGAUUAAGCAGCAGGCUGACUAUGCUCAUAUGCUGCCUUUAGAUAUAUCUAAGAGAUCGCCAUGCCAUUAACAAAUGAUGUAAGCCUGUCAGUUUUCAACAA